UUUAUUACAUGAUACUCACGGCAGGGCCAGCAAAUCCGUUGGGACCAGCGGGACCAACUUCACCACGUUCACCCUAGGGCUACCACGAGGACCAGCGGGACCAGCAGGACCAGCAGCACCAGCUUCACCCUACGAUGGGGCCAAAGAUGAGCUUGUUAAUGUGCCAAACACAAAUGCUCACAGAGUUGGAAGGAGAGGGAUGCCAGCAGCACCCCUCUCUCCGGGGAGUCCGCCAGGACCAGAGGCACCAGCACUGCCCGGAGCACCAACGGAUCCAGCUCACUUCCUUAUAAGUGUGGUUUAAGAAACAACAACAUUUUAAAUGGUAAAAGAACCCCAGGGGAUGUCAUCGUGGAAAGAACAUGAUGGAAUGAUGUCAGGCGGCCUCACAGGAAGGGUGUCCUAGAUGAAUGCCGUGUGGAUAGAUCUACACAGAAGUUAGCACCUACCCGGACACCCGCAAGACCAGCAUGACCUUUUUCUCCAGAUUCCUCGUCCUUGAAUUCUGUUGUCCGAGGAAUGAUCCAUCGCCCUGCAGCUCCCUAUACAACAAGGGACACCUGGGUCUGCAGAAGCAUGACGCAGGAGAUGGAUUUUCAGCAGGUGUACAGUGAGUGAUACACUGGACUCUGACUUUUAAUAUGGUAAGCGGCUUGCAAUUUUCCCAUGUUGAGAGGAACCCCUUCGAAAUAGAGUAAACUGAGGCAAGCGAGAAAUACCAGAGUUUUGGUGAAAUGUGGCCAAAAAAUAAAAGUGCCAAGGGA